rnacentral:tRNA from 1 species
GUCACGAUAGCUCAGGUGGCAGAGCAGCGGUCUUUCAAGCCGAAGAUCGUGGGUUCGAAUCCCGCUCGUGCCA